CUCAGAAAGCACAGACUCUGACGAGUUUGAGAACGAGGAGCCGUUCAGGUUGCAGCAUAAAUCCCAUACUCGUAAAACGUGUGCUGCAGAUGAGAGGCUAU